GCGGGAUUCGUAUAGUGGUAGUACGCGACCUUCCCAAGGUUGUGGCACGGGUUCGAUUCCCGUAUCCCGCUCCA
rnacentral:tRNA from 1 species